rnacentral:rRNA from 1 species
GUAGUUAGCCGGGGCUUCCUCCUUGGCUACCGUCACUUUCUUCGUCACCAAGGACAGAGGUUUACAACCCGAAAGCCUUCUUCCCUCACGCGGCGUUGCUGGGUCAGGCUUGCGCCCAUUGCCCAAUAUUCCCCACUGCUGCCUCCCGUAGGAGUCUGGACCGUGUCUCAGUUCCAGUGUGGCCGAUCAGCCUCUCAGCUCGGCUACCCAUCGCGGACUUGGUGGGCCGUUACCCCGCCAACUAUCUAAUGGGACGCGAACCCCUCCUAAAGCGGAUUGCUCCUUUGACCUCAUCCCGAUGUCGGGUCGUGGUCUUAUGCGGUAUUAGCACUUGUUUCCAGGUGUUAUCCCCCUCUUUAGGGCAGGUUGUUCACGCGUUACUCACCCGUUCGCCACUAAACUAUCAACCGAAAUCAAUAGUUCCGUUCGACUUGCAUGUGUUAGGCACGCCGCCAGCGUUCGUCCUGAGCCAGAAUCGAACCUCGUACGACGUAGAGGCGGUCGUCGACGACGGCGCAGU